rnacentral:rRNA from 1 species
AACGAACGCUGGCGGCGUGCUUAACACAUGCAAGUCGAGCGCGAAAGGGGGUUCGCCCCCGAGUAGAGCGGCAGACGGGUGAGUAACACGUGGGUAACCUACCCCAGAGCGGGGAAUAACAGUUCGAAAGGACUGCUAAUACCGCAUAAGACCACGUCCUUUAGGGGAUGAGGUAAAAGGCUUCGGCCACUUUGGGAGGGGCCCGCGGCCGAUUAGCUAGUUGGUGAGGUAAUGGCUCACCAAGGCGACGAUCGGUAGCUGGUCUGAGAGGAUGAUCAGCCACACUGGUACUUAGACACGGACCAGACUCCUACGGGAGGCAGCAGUGGGGAAUAUUGCGCAAUGGGCGAAAGCCUGACGCAGCAACGCCGCGUGGGUGAAGAAGGCCUUCGGGUCGUAAAACCCUGUCAGAUGGGAAGAAACCUGCUUAAAGCAGCUGACGGUACCAUCAGAGGAAGCACCGGCUAACUCCGUGCCAGCCGCCGCCGUAAGAC